GCCGAUGGUCCCUUUUCUCCUGGUGGCAGUAGCCGACUUCCCCUGUGCCAGCUGUCCCACAGCUGUGUGUCUUCCUCUUAAGAUAAGCCAUCACCAAACCUGUUGUCUCACAGACCCCUGAGAGAAUGUGGAGUUAUCACAAGGCUGUCUGCAAAUCCUCUCCUGAAGACAGAGAGAUGCCACAGGUGCCACCAGGUGCAGCAGCAGCAGCCUUCUACCUGCAGAUUCUUCAGGCUUGACCCAGGCACCUGGACGUGCCUUGAUUUCCUCAGCGCCUGCUAAGGUCUGACUGCUAAGUGCCUCAGCAGAGCUGGUUAAAGUGUUACAUUUCCAUAGGACAGCACAGCUCCAGAACACGAGGCCCACGGACACGUCUCAUCCUUUGCUCAGCUUCCUGUCAUCGGUCAGGACCAAAUCACCCGCCGGAGUGGUAGCUGGAAUUAGUCCGACACUUUGAAGAGGUCCUGGAACUGAGCUUCUUCUGGGCCUCCAAGCUUGGCUCAGACCUUGUAUAGCACAGGAGAGAGACAGAAGUAUAAUAAGCUAAAAGAUGUUUCACAAAGGAGGCAAAAACAAAACAAAACAUAACAAUGCAUUCCACUCCCCUCCCCCAGGAGAAAUGCUGUUGGGGAUUUAAAAUCUCCAUAUCCAUGGCCACCUAAGAUACAGCUUGUGUUUAGGGUGGCUGCUGUCUGAGCUUCUGAGAGUCACAGGGGGAACCUCAAAAUUCUGGGCAUCAAGAGUCCUUCUGAGUUGAAAUAAAAAGAGGCUCAGGACAUUUGUGUAAAUGCUGACCUUAAGUGAGCAGAGACUGUGUGCGAAUGGAUUCCUCUGGGCGUGGAAUACGGAGUUACAGCAGUUUGGGUGAAAGUCACCACAUUAACUAGUACUUGUAGGGUCAAACUGAGGUACUUGUGAAUAAGAACACAGCUGCCAUGACUUCUGGGACUUUCUGCAUUAACCAGUAAAGACUUCUUGUCCCAUGGUGGUCGGGAAGGGUUCUGGGAAUGGGACAGUAGGAGUGGGCCAGGGAUGGCUUGAGACUUCCUAGUACUGUCCCUGGGGUCACAGUCAGUGACAGGCAAAGCAGGACCCUGAUGGCCUAAGUGGAGGGAAAAUAAAUACAAGCCAGAGAAAACAUUAUGGAAAAGGACAUUAUGUCCUUGGGAGUGGUCUCAGUGUUCCCCGAGGUCACCACUCACUCAUUUACCUCCUUAGGGGUCUUAUUUUUUAAAAUGUGGAUAAAAGUGAAGGAGGAACUGGCCACCACGGUUGAGGGACAAGCCACUUGUGAUGAAUGGUAGCUCUUUGUGGAAAGUGCUUUACUUUACAGUUUUCAAUGCACUUCCCUGAGGAUUUCCGGCAAAAACCGUGCCCUUUACCCGUGCGUGUCAGCCUUUCUGCUCCUGUCUUCACCUGCCCCUUGCGGGUAACAGGAGUCACUCUGGGAAAUAAAUUCUUGGCCUGUGCUAACGUGUUACCAUCAGAAACGAGAAGGGCAGGGCAGGUCUGUAGAAAUAACCAGGCUGUUAAUCUCACACACUUGGAAGAUUUUUUGCAAACGCAAAGUUUAAACUAUAAGAGUGGGCACCCCGGCACCAGGUCAUCCGCCAAUGUACCCUGUUGGUGGAGGGACUGUGCCUUCAGCUCACAGU